CAGGGCAGGGCCAGGCAGAGCUCGUCCCAGGUCAGGGCAGGUCAGGUCAGGGCAGAGCUCGUCCCAGGUCUGGGCAGAUCAGGGCAGGUCAGAGCUCGUCCCAGGUCAGGGCAGGUCAGGGCAGAGCUCGUCCCAGGUCAGGGCAGGGCAGCGCAGAGCUCGUCCCAGGUCUGGGCAGGUCAGGGCAGAGCUCAUCCCAGGUCAGGGCAGGUCAGGGCAGAGCUCGUCCCAGGUCAGGGCAGGGCAGCGCAGAGCUCGUCCCAGGUCUGGGCAGGUCAGGGCAGAGCUCGUCCCAGGUCAGGUCAGGGCAGGUCAGAGCUGGUCCCAGGUCUGGGCAGGGCAGGGCAGAGCUCAUCCCAGGUCAGGUCAGGGCAGGGCAGAGCUCGUCCCAGGUCAGGUCAGGGCAGGGCAGGGCAGAGCUCAUCCCAGGUCAGGUCAGGGCAGGGCAGAGCUCGUCCCAGGUCAGGGCAGGGCAGGGCAGAGCUCGUCCCAGGUCAGGGCAGGGCAGGGCAGAGCUCGUCCCAGGUCAGGGCAGAGCUCGUCCCAGGUCCGGUCAGGGCAGGUCAGAGCUCGUCCCAGGUCAGGGCAGGGCAGGGCAGAGCUUGUCCCAGGUCAGGACAGGGCAGAGCUCAUCCCAAGUCAGGGAAGGGCAGAGCUCGUCCCAGGUCGAGCCUGGGGCCGGGGCUGCCUCGCCAC